rnacentral:rRNA from 1 species
GUCUGAAUAUGGGGGGACCAUCCUCCAAGGCUAAAUACUCCUGACUGACCGAUAGUGAACCAGUACCGUGAGGGAAAGGCGAAAAGAACCCCGGCGAGGGGAGUGAAAAAGAACCUGAAACCGUGUACGUACAAGCAGUGGGAGCACAGGUUUACCUGUGUGACUGCGUACCUUUUGUAUAAUGGGUCAGCGACUUAUAUUCUGUAGCAAGGUUAACCGAAUAGGGGAGCCGGAGGGAAACCGAGUCUUAAUUGGGCGUUAAGUUGCAGGGUAUAGACCCGAAACCCGGUGAUCUAGCCAUGGGCAGGUUGAAGGUUGGGUAACACUAACUGGAGGACCGAACCGACUAAUGUUGAAAAAUUAGCGGAUGACCUGUGGCUGGGGGUGAAAGGCCAAUCAAACCGGGAGAUAGCUGGUUCUCCCCGAAAGCUAUUUAGGUAGCGCCUCGUGAAUUCAUCUCCGGGGGUAGAGCACUGUUUCGGCUAGGGGGCCAUCCCGGCUUACCAACCCGAUGCAAACUGCGAAUACCGGAGAAUGUUAUCACGGGAGACACACGGCGGGUGCUAACGUCCGUCGUGAAGAGGGAAACAACCCAGACCGCCAGCUAAGGUCCCAAAGUCAUGGUUAAGUGGGAAACGAUGUGGGAAGGCCCAGACAGCCAGGAUGUUGGCUUAGAAGCAGCCAUCAUUUAAAGAAAGCGUAAUAGCUCACUGGUCGAGUCGGCCUGCGCGGAAGAUGUAACGGGGCUAAACCAUGCACCGAAGCUGCGGCAGCGAACGUAUCACUUAAAGCGAUUCAGCGGGUUACGAUUGACGGAGCGAAGCGACGUCAAAGCGUAUACAAAGUCGAGUCGGUUUAAGGAUACGUUCGUUGGGUAGGGGAGCGUUCUGUAAGCCUGUGAAGGUGGCCUGUGA